rnacentral:snRNA from 1 species
GUGCCUUGUUUCAGGAGCACAUAUACUAAAAUUCUAACAAUACAGAGAUUACCAUGACCCCUGUGCAAGGAUGACAUACAAAAUUCAUGAAGCAUUCUAUAUUUUU